UACCAGCACCCCGAGUGGUCGGGACGAUUAUUGGGCCUAAAGCAUCCGUAGCCGGUUCUGCAAGUCCCCCGUUAAAUCCAGCUGCUCAACAGAUGGCCGCGGAGGAUACUACAGAGCUAGGAGGCAGGAGAGGCAAGCGGUACUCAGUGGGUAGGGGUAAAAUCCGUUGAUCCAUUGAAGACCACCAGUGGCGAAGGCGGCUUGCCAGAAUGCGCUCGACGGUGAGGGAUGAAAGCUGGGGGGAGCAAAACCGGAUUAGAUUACCC
rnacentral:rRNA from 1 species